rnacentral:rRNA from 1 species
UACCAGACUCCUACGGGAGGCAGCAGUGGGGAAUAUUGCACAAUGGGGGAAACCCUGAUGCAGCGACGCCGCGUGAGCGAUGAAGUAUUUCGGUAUGUAAAGCUCUAUCAGCAGGGAAGAAGAUGACGGUACCUGACGAAUAAGCCACGGCUAACUACGUGCCAGCAGCCGCGGUAAUACGUAGGUGGCAAGCGUUGUCCGGAUUUACUGGGUGUAAAGGGCGUGUAGCCGGGUUGACAAGUCGGAUGUGAAAUCCUGCGGCUUAACCGCAGAACUGCAUUUGAAACUGUUGAUCUUGAGUACUGGAGAGGCAGACGGAAUUCCUAGUGUAGCGGUGAAAUGCGUAGAUAUUAGGAGGAACACCAGUGGCGAAGGCGGUCUGCUGGACAGCAACUGACGGUGAGGCGCGAAAGCGUGGGGAGCAAACAGGAUUAGAUACCCCCGUA